rnacentral:misc_RNA from 1 species
UCACAAUAUCAAGCUUGGCUUGUUGUUGGGCCCUUUGUCACCUGGUGACAGGUCCAAAAGACAAUAACCGGUGUCAUACAGACUCUAUAUGCAACGAGCUUAUAACAGCACGCAUGUGGUGGUCGUGUGGCCCAGUUUUUAUAUAUAUAAAUUUCUCAA